rnacentral:rRNA from 1 species
GUUUGAUCAUGGCUCAGGAUAAACGCUGGCGGCGUGCAUCAGGCAUGCAAGUCGAACGCUCCUUUCGGUUUCGGCCGGAAGGGGAGUGGCGGACGGGUGAGUAACACGUGAGUAACCUGUCCGAAAGUGGGGAAUAACUCGCCGAAAGGUGAGCUAAUACCGCAUGUUGUGGUCCUCCCUUGGGAGGGUCACCAAAGGCUUAGGUCGCUUUCGGAGGGGCUUGCGGCCGAUUAGCUAGUUGGUGGGGUAAUGGCCCACCAAGGCUACGAUCGGUAGCUGGUCUGAGAGGAUGUCAGCCACACGGGGACUGAGACACGGCCCCGACUCCUACGGGAGGCAGCAGCUAGGAAUCUUGGGCAAUGGGCGAAAGCCUGACCCAGCAACGCCGCGUGGGCGACGAAGGCCUUCGGGUCGUAAAGCCCUUUUGCAGGGGAAGAUAGUGACGGUACCCUGCGAAUAAGCCACGGCUAACUACGUGCCAGCAGCCGCGGUAAUACGUAGGUGGCGAGCGUUGUCCGGAUUUACUGGGCGUAAAGCGCGUGCAGGCGGUUCGUUAAGUCUGGGGUGAAAUCUCCCGGCUCAACUGGGAGGGGUUCUCAGAUACUGGCGGACUUGAGGGAGGCAGAGGAGAGUAGAAUUCUCGGUGUAGUGGUGAUAUGCGUAGAUAUCGAGAGGAAUACCAGUGGCGAAGGCGGCUCUCUGGGCCUUACCUGACGCUAAGACGCGAAAGCGUGGGGAGCGAACCGGAUUAGAUACCCGGGUAGUCCACGCCGUAAACGAUGGACACUAGGUGUGGGGGGUAUCGACCCCCUCCGUGCCGAAGCUAACGCAAUAAGUGUCCCGCCUGGGGAGUACGGUCGCAAGGCUGAAACUCAAAGGA